rfam:Parastrongyloides trichosuri strain KNP genome assembly, scaffold: PTRK_scaffold0000093
CCAAAGGCCCUCUUUAGGGCCACUAAUAUAACUUUUCUUAUCAUU